AAGGGCUUAGCUUAAUUAAAGUGUUUGGUUUGCGUCCAUUUGAUGUAAGAGUAGUCUUGCAGUCCUUA
rnacentral:tRNA from 1 species